UGGGGAAUCUUGCACAAUGGGGGCAACCCUGAUGCAGCGACGCCGCGUGAGCGAUGAAGCCCUUCGGGGCGUAAAGCUCUUUCGACCGGAACGAUAAUGACGGUACCGGGAGAAGAAGCUGCGGCUAACUACGUGCCAGCAGCCGCGGGAAUACGUAGGCAGCAAGCGUUGUUCGGAGUUACUGGGCGUAAAGAGUGCGUAGGCGGUUUUCUAAGUUCGGUGUGAAAUCUCCCGGCUUAACUGGGAGGGUGCGCCGAAGACUGGGAAGCUGGAGUGUGGGAAAGGCAGGCGGAAGUCCUGGUGUAGCGGUGAAAUGCGUAGAUAUCAGGAGGAACACCGGCGGUGUAGACGGCUUGCUAGACCAUAACUGACGCUGAGGCACGAAAGCGUGGGUAGCAAACA
rnacentral:rRNA from 1 species